CUUUAUACGAUUUGGCCCAACCAAAAAAACCCUAGAAUAGGCGCAGCGCAUUGCGAAAUUCGCGUUCCUUCCGUUACUACUAACCCUAGACACAAACCUUAUAUAUACUCUCACACUUCCCUCACUUCUCAUCAGCCAGCAGCCUUCCUCGGUACCAACGCCUGAGCAGCCUUCCUGCAAAUUUUGUUAUUUUUCACAGGAAAUUUAUGUAAAGUGAUGUUGUGGAUUCUCGAUUUUGGAUGAUGUCAAGAAUAGUUUUUGAUUUCAAGUUGAUAAUAGUCUCCAAAUUUUAUGAAGAUUUCGGUUCCUUUUGUUGGCACAUGUAAAUCAUAUUAUGUAAAUUGUAAUUUCUUGAUACAUGAUUUAAUUAUUUGUUUGUAUAUGUUCUAAAUCUAUACAAACAAUAAAUUGAUAUGUAAAUUCUUUUUAUUAUGUUAA